UGAGGAAUAUUGGACAAUGGAGGCAACUCUGAUCCAGCCAUGCCGCGUGUAGGAAGACUGCCCUAUGGGUUGUAAACUACUUUUAUAUGGGAAGAAUAAGAUCUACGUGUAGAUUGAUGACGGUACCAUAAGAAUAAGCACCGGCUAACUCCGUGCCAGCAGCCGCGGUAAUACGGAGGGUGCAAGCGUUAUCCGGAAUCAUUGGGUUUAAAGGGUCCGUAGGCGGGCAUAUAAGUCAGUGGUGAAAGUCUGUGGCUYAACCAUAGAAUUGCCAUUGAUACUGUAUGUCUUGAAUUAUUGUGAAGUGGUUAGAAUAUGUAGUGUAGCGGUGAAAUGCUUAGAGAUUACAUAGAAUACCGAUUGCGAAGGCAGAUCACUAACAAUAUAUUGACGCUGAUGGACGAAAGCGUAGGUAGCGAACAGGAUUAGAUACCCUGGUAGUCUACGCCGUAAACGAUGGAUACUAGUUGUUUGGAUUUCGGACUGAGUGACUAAGCGAAAGUGAUAAGUAUCCCACCUGGGGAGUACGUUCGCAAGAAUG
rnacentral:rRNA from 1 species